CUGUCCUAAGCCAACCUCGAGUGGUCAUCCUAAGGUUAAUGGUUAAGAGAAGUCAAAACUGCUUUAGGACCUGGUAAAAGGAAAUGGAAGUGGCAAUGAUGGAAACAGGGAGCUUGGGAAGACACUGGUUUUAGGGAGAAGAUGGCUGUAGCAGUCCCAGGUGUCAUAUGGUUGGGACAACAUCGACAGGCAGGAACAAACCACCCCAGAGGCUUCAUAGCAGGCCACUCCUUUGGUGCUCAGCUAUCUUAGGAACUCAGUUGGCACUCAGAGGCCUCCAUAAAUCCACAGACAGCUUCCCUGCCUUUCCCUUACAAGUGUAAUCCACUGCUUACUGAUUGACUUGUCAUCUCCAUGGAAGAUGUACCUCUCUAGGCCUGACCCUUCUCUGGAGGGGAAAACACUUCUUUCCCACAUCAGAUGUUUCUUAAAGUAUGGAGGGGGUGCCACUAACAUAACACUCGAUACCUCAUUCCAGCGCUUCUAACAAGUUUCCUGAUGUGGCAUUCUGGGAACAAAACCUACCCUUUACCAGUGGCCCCACGAGAUUCCACAAAGGAGAUGAAAUCAGUAUUGAAGUGGCCUUAUGAAGAUGGGAGCAGGACUACCCUAACUGACUGCUGACUUCUCACCCAAGGGGGAUAACCAUGUCCUAAGGUGAUCUCAGCGGGACCCACACUGUGGUUAUAAGUGAACAGGGUGUGUUCACGGAGUUGAUACAAACAACACAGGAUCUGGCAUCGGACAUCCUGCACACCAAAACCUGCCUUACCAUAUAUUAAUGGAGUGACUUGGCGAAGCUACUUAACUUCCUUCAGCUUCAGUUUCUUCAUUUGUAAAAUAGGAAUGAAAACAUCUUCCCCAGAGAUUGCACAUGAAGAUGAAGUGAGGAGGUCCUGGUAAGGAAUGUGGAACCAACAAGCUACUACCAACCAGAAGAAUUCAGGAAAGGUCAAAAGGAGAGAGGAGAAUCCAGUCCAUGUGUCCUGCCAACCUCCCAGAAU